GGCCCCCACAGUAGCAUUCAUAUUAAUAGCAGUCACUCAACAAAUAUAUUCCCUUACUUUACUUAUACUUUUCAAAUCUUAACUAAAAACAAUCUUAAAGUCAUUAAAACCGAUUUCAACUUUCAACAUUUCUAAUUUCUGAUAAUCCAGUGUAAAAACCAUUAGCACUAUUUUUCUAACCUGUAUUAUUGGAUUUUUAUGAUCUAUCCGUUCCGCUGCUGUUCGUCGGCUUCUUCUUCUUCUCUAUGCCCAGUAAUUUCGUGUUGGUAAUUAUAUAAAUCAUUUAUUUAUGAACUAUUUACUUUCGAGUUAAGCCCGAUAAUGGUUAUUCUCAACGAUUUCUCUCCCUCGCCGCCUCCCUUUUCUAAUUUCGUUUGCUUCGCUUGAAUGAAAUGCAAAUUGUUUCUAUUUUUCCCUGGGCAAAUUGUGUUUUCUAAUUACAAAUACAUAUGUAUGCAUGUAUGCAUGUAUGUGUAACGCGAGUUAACUCCUAUUUCUGUUUUGGCAUUCGCAUCCCAAAGUGGAACAGUUAGUGGAGAAGAACUAAAGAGAGGACGAACAGCAGGAGGAGGAGGAGUGCAAAGAACUGAGGACAAGCGGCGAUCAUUAAGCUCCAGUUGCUCUAACAAUGCUGUGAUGUAAGGUUCGUGCUAAGUUGAUUCUCGACAGUGGAAGUUUUUUAACUGUGUAAAUGUGUUAAUAUAUAUAUGCUGACUAAAAAAAGGUAUUUAAGUGACCGGAGUAAACGGGUCCUCAUAUCGUACAGCUUAGUCCCACUGUGCUGCAUCGGCGACGUCUGCGGAGUGAUACAAUAAAUUUAAGCAGCUAAAUGCACGUGCUGAGUGAGGCGACGCCGUUGACAAGUACCGGUAUUAUGGAUCUUCGGAUCGUCGGGUUCCGUUCCCGGUUGCAUAACCAUAACGCUAGGCAUGCGCUUGAGAUUUAUGCAGCUAGAGCAGUUGCUGUUGGUCUUGGGUGCUAAGCAAGUUGCAGAAAAAGAAAAUACAAACUCAAGCUGGAUUACCGUUGCGGUGCUUACCUGCAGAUUUUAAAUUCAUCAUCAAACACCACAACAACAUAAGACGGCAGAAGACGUCUAGCAAGUUUUGUUUGGAAAAUGGAAAGCUUUUCAACGUUAUUAGCGAGGACCAGCACCUAUGGUGAAUUUAACUACAGAGCUUAGUCAGGUUUCACACCUGCUUGGGAAUCAAGUCGAGAGUUUUUCAUGGAAAUGGGGGAAAAGCCAACCAAACACUUACCAUCGAUGAAGCACCAAUCCUGGGAGACUUUGGGAUAGGAGAUG